rnacentral:lncRNA from 1 species
AAAUUAAGCCCAAGACCCCCUCUUUCACAUUUGAACAUCUGCUUUACAAGAUAGACAGUGAAGAAACUCAAUUACACCCCAUGAGAUGUGGAUUAACAGAUGAAGAAAUAGCAGGGCAAGUGAGACUUCAAGAAAAUGAUAAGUCCACUCUAAUGCAAAGCAUCUAUGGGUCAUGGUGGUCUCAUGGAUUGUAUAUUAAACUGGCAUUGGUUAUAGACCAUGAACAAUUCCUUUAUCGGAAAAGUAACACUUCUCUUGUGUUAAAAGAUGUAUUCAACAUUAUGAAUGGGAUAAAUCUCUCCUUACUUUCAGUUGAUAUUAAUGUGGCUUUACUUGGUCUUACUAUUUGGACUCAACGAAAUCCCAUACCAGUGCAAGACAUAUAUACUCUCUUGCCAGCAUUUUGUUUGUGGAAGACAAUGAACUUUAAUUCUCAGAUGGCAUAUGAUAUUGCACAUCUCUUCGUGAAUUAUACUUUUGGUGACUAUUUUGGCAUAGCCUUUGUGGGAACUGUAUGCAAUAAGACAUUUGGUUGUGGAGUUGAUAGGCUCUUUGGAGACAAUUUCCUUACCAUUGGACAUAUUGUGGCCCACGAGAUAGGUCACAAUUUGGGCAUGCCACAUGAUGGGAUACUUUGUUCUUGUGGAGAGGGACCAUGUUUGAUGUCUGCUACAAUGGAGAGUUCCAAAAAACUCAGCAACUGUAGUUACGAAUUCUUGUGGGCCAACAUAGCCAAAAAAAGCUGCCUACAGAGGGAGCCCAGCUCUUCAGAUAUCUUCCCAAUGAAGAUCUGUGGGAACGGUGUAGUUGAUGAUGGCGAGGAGUGUGACUGUGGAUCUCAAAGCUGUGGACGUAAUAGUAGGUGUUGUCUGCCUACCUGUAUUCUGAAGUCUGGAGCUAAAUGUGCUUCUGGACUAUGCUGUAACUUCAAAUGCCAAAUUCAGCCAUCUGGCACUCUGUGUAGAACGAAGGAGAAUGAAUGUGAUCUUCCAGAAUGGUGCAAUGGGACUUCAAAGGAGUGCCCUGAGGAUACAUUUGUACAGGCUGGGACUUCUUGCCUUGGUAAUGGCUACUGCUAUGAAAAAAGAUGUAAUAGCCAUGACGACCACUGCAAGAGAGUU